CAGACCCGAAGAGAAGCCGCGACUUCUUUGGCCGUACGAAUUCUCAGGAGUUUAUAUUUGUGUUAAGGGCUUAUGAAUAAUCCUCCAUGUGGGCUGGUCAGGAACGUAGCUGAGUUUCAGGAAGAGAUCAGGCAAAGUAGUUGACAAAAGCAACCUAUAACUUCCGCCCGGUCCCACGUAUAGCCCAGUGAACCAGCAUGACUUCUCUCCAGCAUCCCUCAGCCUGUAAGCCUAAUCCCCAAAAUAAAUUAAUGGACUUAAACGUCACUCGACCUGCCCACACGACAAGAAAUCAAUCCUGACACACGGCCCAGGACUCUGUUUGGGUUGAGUUGGCAUUUGGAUCUAAAUAUGGAUGCCCACAGAGACUGCAGACCUUACAACAACAGAAACUGGUCUGAACUUGUAAUACUUGAAAAAAAUUCCUGACAUCGUGUUUGGGGGCUGGGGACGGUGACUGGAUGGCAGCAGAGGAUUAGAGGAGGCAGCAGGCAGCGUGCCAUAUGGCCCGGUCUAAUCUGGGCCUGUGACAUCACUGAUGCGAGGGGAGGCCCACCAUCCGUUCCUGAGCCCACGUCUCGCUGGACGGGCCCAUUGUCAGCUGUAAACAAUAACACCGUACCCAGCUCCACAGGUGCUUCCUGGCUGGAAGACAGAGGCUGCAGAGGAUGAUGCCGUUUCCCAACAAAGCCCACAUUACUCACCUAGGCUGACCAAUGAGUGAAGCAGAUUGGAAUUUUAUCAGAAUCACUCAAGACGGAGAAGAAGCUGGGAAUCACAGCUCAAAAUGAAAACAGAGGCAGUGAGUCUGUGCCACAGAAUUGAUACAUCGCAAUAUGUAAAUAAAGGUUAUUUUUGUACCAUUUCCUGGAAUGCUGUUAAACUGUGCGUAGGCGCAAAAGUCCUAAUAUGUAAAGAGUCUCAAAAUGUAGUUGAAAAUAAGUGAUGUGAAAUUUUUUUUUUAUCAAACCAUUUCUACAUGAAGUUUGUUAAAGUUGUCUAAAGAUGAUCAUACAGCAGGUUUUCUCUCCAAACACAAAUGAUCAGCUGAUUAUGUUUUACCUUGUGGUUGUCUCAGCAGUACAUAUUUUAAGUAUUUUGCUUGUAGGUUAGUCAUUUUAAUCAUUCACCUUUUUAAAUUUUGCUCCUAUGACUUGUAGGAGGGAAAGCAAAAAAAGGCUUGUUACAAACUCUGGGAUUUCAAGGAAUACAGCCAAUAUUAACUUUGAAGCCCGAUUCUAACAUGAACAUGGUGGAAAACACAAAAAUAUUGCUCACACAAACACAACAGAUAAUAGAACAGGGAGCCAUUUUCAGCACAUCAGAAAACACAAAACGGCAGCACCAGAAAAAGCUCAAGAAUGAAAACGAAAUGUCAGCAAACAAAAAUACGACGCCGCAACUCACAGAAUAUAUUAUCUCAAUAUUGAAAGGAAACAUGUAUUGUAAACAAAAGUAAAACAAGAAAGA